UCCGCCGGACCAACCACUUUUUUUUGUGUGCUUGUGUUAUUUGCAGAUUUCAUACGUUAUUAUUUCGCAAGAUUAAUAUCUGAGCAGAUUAAUAUCUCGAUUAUUGGUGGACCUUGCAGCCGCCAGAGACACCCGUCGCUGCACCGUUCCGUGACCUAUCCGUGGCGUUAGAGAGGAUGCAGCCGAGGCCGACGAGUGACCGAGGAGGCACCAAUAUCGGGGCCGAGACCGAGAUGAUGCCAUCGCCGAGACCACCGAGAGCGGAGGCGGGCGAGCCGACGCCGACCCCGAGGCCGAUAGCAGAUGCGCCGAGCACGCAGGUAGCCGACGCGGAUGAAUCAUCCGUGCGAGCCGACAACCACCUGAAGGCCACCCGAGAGGGAAACAAUAGCGACGACGAAGACGGCAUUCCGACCGCGUCGUAAUUCGUUGAACUUUGAUAAUAAAGACAGUGCGAAUAGCGUUACAGAUACCGCGCGUAUAAAGUAUUAUAUAAUAAUUAAAUUUGUUAAAAAUUUAUUUGUUUUUUUAAAAUAAAUUUAGUUUAACUCGUUUAGGCGACCGCGCAAGACUCAACGAGCCGUGCGAGUGUGUGAGUGCACGCGUGAGACCGCGUGUAAAUUUAAGAAAGCAAGCGUGCGAUGAAAAGAAAAUAAUGUAACGUGCGCAAUCGCGAAAAUAUAUUAUAUAUUAAUCUAUUUUAUAGUAUUACACAUAUUAAUGUUGUAUUCCUUUUGUUACGAGCGAUAUUAAAAGCUUGUUAUUGUUUUAUUAAAUGAUAUGUGUUCGAGACUAUAACAGUUCCUUUAGAGUUUUAACAUUUCCUUUUUUUUUGCUCUGUUUUAUCCGCGAGUAGUGGGAAGCUGCUGACAGCCAUCGAGCUCCUUGUAGUUCAUUUCUUCGAUGCACCUAGUCGCGCGGCGCUGUCACCAGCUCCUCACGCGCGCGAUUUUCGUUUUUUCGCAUCGUGGUAACUAGGCAAAUAAACAUGCCCAAAAAAGGGCACGUCCAAAUCCAUGCCCAAAUAAGUCUCGAGAUCCGUUCCCUUACCGCCCCCUUUUUCGCCUCCGAUCGUAAUUGUUUUACGAUGCAAAAUUCGCCAGUCUCUCGCAGCCCGGCACUGACAUAAGAUCUCCCGCGUCAUCCGCCGAUCCUAGCUGCGGGGAUUCACUUCCAUUCCAUCCAUAAUUCGGCGAUCAUGUCAAUUAAUUUUUAAGUUCGAGUAUUCGUGUGAAUGUGUGAGUGCGUUACGUUUAUGCGCGGGUGACCGUAUCUUUCCCGCGAACGUCUCUGCCUCGUGCACAAGAUCUCCGUCGGAUCGCGCGCAAGAUUUCCGGAUUCGCGAGAGCUUCGAUCUAGAGGCUCUUCAAGAUUUCCGCGUCAGGCAGCGUAAUAUCGGGACGUGUCAAGAUUUCCGUAAGCUUGUAAAAGAUACGGUUCGCCCCUCGCUCCGAACGUCCGUUUGUUAAUAAAUCAUUAACGUGUGAGUGACACCAUCGCCUCCUUUUUCUCCCUAUCACCCCCCGUGAACCUACCGCAUUCCUCAUCACUCGCUUCGCGUCUCUAUCGGGACGGAUCCCGGCAUUCUCCCCGUGCGAUCGCGUUUACCCUACGCACGCACAAACAAUAUGUAUAAAAAGACCCGAUCGCUAUCCAACUUACAGAAAGUGCGACAGAAACGACGCGUCGAGAUAGACAUCGUUGCGGAGGGCCCCUGGCGUACAGGCAACUUGGCCGACACGAAAGUGACAGAUCGAGGUUAGGGCGCCCAUGAUCGAGAAUCGGGCGUAGCGUCAUGUACCAUAGGCACAUAGCUGAGCAGAUAAUCAUCGAAAUCCCAAGCUCAGUUACGCUGCAUUUCCGAAUACAGUGGCUAAAUAUUAUGUACUACGUGUUAAUUACAAUCACGGUCUCAGAGCGACCGAACGGAAUAGCGGUGAUUGUUUGGGAGGUGUAUGAUAUUACCGUAAGCUAUACGGAAUAAUUUUCAGUUUAUUUGAUUGAAUUUAUAUUCAUUUAAUUAUUCUCAGUCAGGGUGCAGUCCCAUGAAGCGGAUUAUGCGGAAGCGGAACGAGCGGAUCACCAAUCGCGGGUUCAUUCUGAUAGAACUCUUUUAAAGAUUCCGUCGAAACGGUCCUGUGAUUGGUGAUCCGCUCGUUCCGCUUCCGCAUAAUCCGCUCCAUGGGACCGCACCCUCAGUUUCAUAUAGUUUUAAGCUGACAUGCAAAGGCUCAGGUUUAUUGGCCAAUCAAAAGCCUCGUUUUUAUAAACGAGUCAUAAAGUUCUAAUUUUAGAUAAAAUGUUUAAUGCAGUAAUUGUUUAUUAUUCUGAACGCUGAAAAUGACAGCGCACAAGUUCGCGACAGUCUAAGUCACGAAAAUAAAGCCGCGAACAAAUAACCUGAGGCUUUAGCUUUGCAUUCAAACGUACCAUAAGGUGCGGAACGCCAUGGCAAGGAUCUGCGCAUGCGACCCCAUGGCGUGCGAGCGAGAGGGACGAUCUGAGUGAAAGAGACCUCUUGAUGCUCGCCGAUUGGCGAAAGAACAAUGCCUGACAACAACGAGCCAAUCGAGGAGCAUCAAGGUGGGGAGUGAAUGAGAAACGAGCGGCUUGGCGUCCCCUGACUAAGAAAGUCUGCCUUUGGACUCAGGAUAGGACCGACGUGCGUCUUCCGAGUUCCCGCGUAAUUAAUACUACGCACAUUGUGUGAUAACAGUAACGGGCGCGUAAUAAUUAUUGUUUCGCGACAUCACCCGUGAGUUAUCGCCUAGGGCAGUUUUUUCCGUGUAAUUAUCGCGACGCGUUAAAUAAUAGCGAGAGUCCGUAAUCACGUUGUGCGAGAGGCGUGACCGGAAGUUAUAUACGCAGAUAUUACGCAAUAAGACGCAGCCGAUGUAUUCGUGUGCGUGCGUGAGAUAAUGUGUUGUUAAAUAAAGCAGAGUAUGGUGAAAAUUAGAAGUGAGUCAUAUUAUUUAUUGUACGAUUCUAUAAUCCAUCCCGGACGAGUCCACUGUUUGGCGGGAAAUUGCGUCAUCCCACAACACAUAGACAGGACGUCUUCCUGAGGAUAGGACAGCUACAGAGGGGUUCCAGGACAGCUCAGGAACAUAGCCGAGCGAGGGACUUUCCAUUAUUAAGCGAGAUUCAUACGAGAUCCCGGUGCGGCCAUCCCAAGAGCGAGACCGUGUCCACACCUUGGCGGCGAGUCUACAACAGUAACAGAGAAUGAUACGGAUGUCAAUGUGGAUGUUGAUAUGGAUGUCGAUCCUGCUGCAACUGGAAUAGACAACUGUGAAAUUUCUCCGAAUAAUUGCUUAACUUCUUUGAAAGAUACUCACUACUUGCAAAGCAGCAAGAAGAAACGCCUAGAUUUUUAUUCUCCUGAAGACACUCCUGUUUCUAAACAUGAUAUUGAUGCAACAAUCCUUAUUCAUGAAUUACCAGUCACUGUCUCUACACCAGUCAUUUGUGAAUCUCCUUCACUGAUGAUACUAGAACCACGUUAUGUUGGUGAUAUCCGGCCACCUCAUCUAGCAACACCAAGACGAGCUAAAAGAUCCGUAAAUUUAGCACGACGUGUCAUUAUGCAGCAACGACAGAAAAUUGAAACGUUGCAGAAAAAAUGCUGUAGAUACAAGGAACGUAUUACUUCAUUAAAAGAUGUAGUCUCUGAUAAAAAAAAACUACAUUUCUGAAAAUGCUGCUGACAAUUUAAUGGUACGUUUGAGUGACAUUAAUCGAUUGAUGAAGACUCCGGAUAAAGCUAAUGUUAUCGAUGAAGACUCCGAAUAAAGCCAAUGCCUUUAUGGUUGAAUGCUUUGAUUAUAAAGCUGUAUGCACAAUGCUAGGCAACAGACAAUAGAAAUAAGAAACAGAAAUCAGAAAUUAUCAAAGCAAAAUGGACGGUACAUAGACAACAAUUAUAGAAUUUCUGUCACACAUUAAAAAUUUUGUGCCUAUUGCCUGUUGCAAAAUAAUUAUAGCAUUCGAAUUUUUUAAAGUUAUAUUAAUGAAUUUUAGGUUAUUUCCUGUUCUUAUUGCCUGUUACCCAACAUUCUGCAUAUAACUUACAGUUGGAUAAGUUUAAAUUUACCUCGGUUACAGUUGUACAUAAGUAUAUUUUCUAGGAGUGAGUCCCCGAUGCG